CGCGUAGGCGGCUUGGUAAGUCUGGUGUGAAAUCCCGGAGCUCAACUCCGGAACUGCACUGGAUACUGCCAGGCUUGAGUGCGGGAGAGGAGAGUGGAAUUCCCAGUGUAGAGGUGAAAUUCGUAGAUAUUGGGAGGAACACCGGUGGCGAAGGCGGCUCUCUGGACCGCAACUGACGCUGAGGCGCGAAAGCUAGGGGAGCAAACG
rnacentral:rRNA from 1 species